AGACGAUAAUACUAAACCAUUCGCGAGAAUGGGACGGAAAGCCUAAAGGGUCUCACCGAGACAGCCAGGUCGCCGAA
rnacentral:ncRNA from 1 species